AAGUUAUGGUGUGGUCACUUCCUCAAUAUGUCUUUCAAUCUCUCUCAAGCUUCAUACAAACUCUCUUGAUCAUGGUGGGCAAAGGUUAUUAUCUCAUUGCUAAGCUU
rnacentral:snoRNA from 1 species